rnacentral:rRNA from 1 species
GACGAACGCUGGCGGCGUGCUUAACACAUGCAAGUCGAACGGAAAGGCCCUGCUUUUGUGGGGUGCUCGAGUGGCGAACGGGUGAGUAACACGUGAGUAACCUGCCCUUGACUUUGGGAUAACUUCAGGAAACUGGGGCUAAUACCGGAUAGGAGCUCCUGAUGCAUGGUGGGGGUUGGAAAGUUUCGGCGGUUGGGGAUGGAUUGGCGGGUUCUCCGCUUCUUGGUGGGGUAGUGGCUUACCAAGGCUUUGACGGGUAGCCGGCCUGAGAGGGGGACCGGCGACAUUGGGACUGAGAGACGGCCCAGACGCCUACGGGAGGCAGUAGUGGGGAAUAUUGCACAACGGGGGGAAGCCUGAGGCAGCAGCGCCGGGUGCGGGAUGACGGCCUUCGGGUGGUAAACCGCUUUCGCCUGUGACGAAGCGUGAGUGACGGUAAUGGGUAAAGAAGCACCGGCUAACUACGUG